rnacentral:rRNA from 1 species
AACGAACGCUGGCGGCAGGCUUAACACAUGCAAGUCGAACGCCCCGCAAGGGGAGUGGCAGACGGGUGAGUAACGCGUGGGAAUCUACCCAGUUCUACGGAACAACUGAGGGAAACUUCAGCUAAUACCGUAUACGCCCUACGGGGGAAAGAUUUAUCGGAAUUGGAUGAGCCCGCGUUGGAUUAGCUAGUUGGUGAGGUAAAGGCUCACCAAGGCGACGAUCCGUAGCUGGUCUGAGAGGAUGAUCUGCCACACUGGGACUGAGACACGGCCCAGACUCCUACGGGAGGCAGCAGUGGGGAAUAUUGGACAAUGGGCGCAAGCCUGAUCCAGCCAUGCCGCGUGAGUGAUGAAGGCCUUAAGGUUGUAAAGCUCUUUCACCGGAGAAGAUAAUGACGGUAUCCGGAGAAGAAGCCCCGGCUAACUUCGUGCCAGCCGCCGCAGUAAUAC